rnacentral:rRNA from 1 species
AUUGAACGCUGGCGGCAGGCCUAACACAUGCCAGUCGAACGGUAACAGGAAGAAGCUUGCUUCUUUGCUGACGAGUGGCGGACGGGUGAGUAAUGUCUGGGAAACUGCCUGAUGGAGGGGGAUAACUACUGGAAACGGUAGCUAAUACCGCAUAACGUCGCAAGACCAAAGAGGGGGACCUUCGGGCCUCUUGCCAUCGGAUGUGCCCAGAUGGGAUUAGCUAGUAGGUGGGGUAACGGCUCACCUAGGCGACGAUCCCUAGCUGGUCUGAGAGGAUGACCAGCCACACUGGAACUGAGGCACGGUCCAGACUCCUACGGGAGGCAGCAGUGGGGAAUAUUGCACAAUGGGCGCAAGCCUGAUGCAGCCAUGCCGCGUGUAUGAAGAAGGCCUUCGGGUUGUAAAGUACUUUCAGCGGGGAGGAAGGGAGUAAAGUUAAUACCUUUGCUCAUUGACGUUACCCGCAGAAGAAGCACCGGCUAACUCCGUG